ACGGGAGAGAAAAAAAAAAGGUACUGACGAUUGAAGGUGCUAAGUAAAACGUGCGGCGACUAAAGCUUAUUAAAACUAAGUGAAAACAGAUAAAAUUGUGAGCGCAUUGAUUAAAUUGUGAAUUGAACUUAUGAAUUAAAGUACGGUUGGAACUUACGAACUAAACGUUACGCUGCUGCCUAAGAGUGCUAGUAGUAUCGCCACUACCGAUUGGCUUGAUAUAUGUACACGAAAGGACACUAAACAUACUCACAAUCAAUCACCGUAACAGUCCAUGUGACGUUACGGUAUUACCCGGGAUGGUCAAUUGCAGU